rnacentral:tRNA from 1 species
GGGCGAUUAGAUCAGUUGGUAGAUCGCCUCCUUCACACGGAGGAAGUCGUCGGUUCGAGUCCGGCAUCGCCCA